GAGUUUGAUCCUGGCUCAGAACGAACGCUGGCGGCGUGCCUAACACAUGCAAGUCGAACGGAAUGAAGGGGCUUGCUCUUUCAUUUAGUGGCGCACGGGUGAGUAACGCGUAGAUAAUCUGCCUGACGAUCUGGGAUAACACUUCGAAAGAGGUGCUAAUACCGGAUAAGCCCACGGGGUCUUUGGACUCUGCGGGAAAAGGGGGGGACCUUUUGGCCUUCUGUCGUCAGAUGAGUCUGCGUACCAUUAGCUAGUUGGUAGGGUAAUGGCCUACCAAGGCUACGAUGGUUAGCUGGUCUGAGAGGAUGAUMAGCCACACUGGAACUGAGACACGGUCCAGACUCCUACGGGAGGCAGCAGUGGGGAAUUUUGYGCAAUGGGGGAAACCCUGACGCAGCAACGCCGCGUGAGUGAUGAAGGCUUUCGGGUCGUAAAGCUCUGUCAGAGGGGAAGAAAUGAAACGUGCUAAUAUCACGUUUUCUUGACGGUACCCUCAAAGGAAGCACCGGCUAACUCCGUGCCAGCAGCCGCGGUAAUAC
rnacentral:rRNA from 1 species